AUGUACAUGCAGAGGCCGAGUCCCACGCCACACACUCACCACCAGGGGCCGGGCCACCCACACCACCCUGGCAGCUCCCUCACACCCCCAUGCUCCAGCACAGAAGGCUGCCCUGGGCCAGCUCUCUAUGCUGCCUCGAUUUCCGCCUUUCUAGGUCUUGCUUGGGAUGAAGGUCACGGCAUACCAGAUGUCUGCAUACACCAGAGCAGAGCGGGGCCGCCUGGAGCCACUUCCCACCAACCAGGGCUGCAGCCAGGCAGGAAGAAGCCUGCUGUUGGCCACUUCGCUUUCAUUCCACGAGCACAGAAGGAACACCUGCUCUCGGGCAGUCCCUACCCCCUGGAGCUAAGGUUCUGGAGAGAGACGAGACCGGCAGGCAGGCAGUGCCCGUGUGUGCGGGGGCAGGAAGCCUCAGCGAGCAUAUGGCCGAGCAGAUCUCGGGAAGAGCUUUCCAGGCAGAACUGUCCGUGCAAAGGCCCUGGGGCAGAAGUGCUCAGACACACCAGGGGGCUGAGGGCAGAGGUCUGGGGUCAAGCUGGGGCUGGAGGGUGGGAGGGGCCCCUGGGAGGGGGUGUCCUGGCUCCUGGCGGCUCUUCCAGGGCAGGGACCUGGGCCGCUCCACUUUCACACGCCCGGGGUUUCCCCAGGAACCUUCUCUGUGGCAAGAAGCCUGUCCUGGAAAGUCCCGGACCACAGGUCAACGAGGAAAAGUCAGCUCCGGGCUACGGCCGGGCCAGGCCUGUGCCCUGUGGUGCUCCCAAGGCUGGGACCAGCGACCCUGCGUCCUGCUCCAGCCCCUCUGUGGUGCGGGAGGUUGGGGGCUGCCCUCCCAGGAAGCACCACUGAGGCCUGAGCUCUCAGGCUGCCCACAGGGCCUCUCCCACUGAGGCAGCGGGGACAGCAGCACCACAGCCGCAGCCCCCGUUCACCCCCUACCCAAGCCCUCUGCCCUUAGGUGUGCAGCCACCCCCAAGAGUGCCAGGCCUGGGUCCUGGGUGUGGAGCCGAGGGGCCCGGGCAGGGCAGACGUGGGAAACUGGAGUCCAGGGAGGAGCAGGCCGGGAGGGUGAGAGGUGGCCUGGGCACUAGUGGCCCUCUGGGAAGUGACCUUUACUCUGAGGGUGAGAGGAGAGGCUGGGAACAGACAGGGCAGUGAGCAGGGAGGCAGAGGCGGCAGAGACGCGCAGGAGCAGAGCUGGGCAGAGCACCUGACCCGCUCCAUUCCCUCCAGGCACAGCCUGCCUUCCUCCUCCAGGCACAGCCUGCCUUCCUCCUCCAGGCACAGCCUGCCUUCCUCCUCCAGGCACAAGACAGUUGACCAACGCCUCCUGGGGCAAAGUCCCCAGGUGAAGAGCGGCUGCUCUAAGCUUUAACCUCCAGGUUAUCACAAACCCAGGGAGGGGAAGGAGGGACAAGCGGUUAUAAAAGACGCUGGGGCCGUGGGAUCGGACAAACCUCGCUGGCAGGACACCCUCCCAGCAGUCAGUGCCACUCGAACAAGCUGGGGCACGAUUCCAGAAAGGCGAGGCGGGAACUGAGUGAGGGCACCUGGGACAUCCAAACGCGAGAGGGAGGCUAGAUGCCGUGUGGAAUUUUCCGAAGGCGUUGAUGUUAUUGCAGCUACGCGGGGAGCGUCCGCGUUCCCAGAAGGUCCCAGCUGGGCUGAUUGAUGUUUUUAGGGCCAGUGUUCAAAUGUCUGCAACUUGUGUUCAAAAAUGGUGCAUGAAAAAAUAAUGCAAAUGGAACAUGGAUCCUGAAAGAGGUUGGGUGACUUUCAUGUGUCUCCUGAGGGGACGGGCUGGGCAUCCACACUCUUAUUCUUUACACUUUUCUACGUACGUCACAGUUUUCACAACACACACACAUCGGGAUGGCUAUUAUCAAAAUACAGAAAAUCACAAGUGCUGGCAAGGAUGUGGAGAAGCCAGACCCCUCGUGUACUGCUGGCAGGAAUGUAGAACAGUGCUGCCACCGUGGGAAGCAGGAAGGCAGUCCCUAAAACGAUUAAAGUAGAAUUGCCAGGCCAGGGGCAGUGGCUGACACCUGUUAUCCCAGCACUUUGGGGGGCUGAGGCAGGAGGAUCACUUGAAGUCAGGGGUUCACAACCAGCCAGGGCAAAAUGGCAAGACUCUGUCUCUACGAAAAAAUGAAAAACGUAACCAGCCAUGGUGAUGGCCACCGGUAGUCCCAGCUACUUGGGAGGCUGAGCUGGGGGGCUUGCUUGAGCCCAGGAGACAGAGGUUCCCAUGAGCUAUGAUAAUGCCACCACACUUUAGCUGAAUUCUUCAGUAGAAAUAAAAACUUCGGUCACAUUGGUGUAUACUGUCUUAUCCUGUGCCCCUCAAGAAAGGUUUGAUUCCCUAAUUCCUUUUUAUACACUAGGGUUUUUUCAAAAGUGUUUGCAGGGUUAGAUCCCCUCCCUCAUCUCCACACCGUGGGUAACUGGGUACAAUUCUGCCCUCAUGCAUCAGACACGCUCCAGGUUCUCUGGAAUCAGAUCUGUCACUACGGACAGACCAAGCUUCCCGGAUGCCAGUGGUGGUGGCAGAGCUGACAGCACUCCCCGCAGCAUGACGACCGAGGAGACAGCCUGCUCCAUAACGUCAAAGUGGCCUCUGGGUCCUCGUCCCAGGGCAGAAACAGACUCUUAGGUGUGAACGGAAAACAGAGGGUUAUUAAAAUUGUCACCUAAUGCAGAAGCUCUGCUAUACCCUUAGGUGGCCAAGGCUGAUUUCUCACCCAUCCACGACCGUAAAGGGAAUCAUUCUUUGUUGGGGUCGAAGAGCAUGAACCCUCUUUACAAUGGAUAGUGUUGGCCAGGCACAGUGGCUCAUGCCUAUAAUCCCAGCACUUUGGGAGGCCGAGGCAGGCAGAUCACCUGAGGUCAGGGGUUCAAGAUCAGCCUGGCCAAUAUAGUGAAACUCCGUCUCUACUACAAAUACAAAAAUUAGCCAGGCGUGGUGGCAUGUGACUGUAGUCCCAGCUACUCAGGAGGCUGAGACAGGAGAAUUGCUUGAACCUGGGAGGAGGAGCUUGCAGUGAGCCAAGAUCGCGCCACUGAACUCCAGCCUGGGUGUCAAAGCGAGACAUCGUCUCAAAAACAAAACAAAACAAACAAAACAAGAUGAAUUGUGUCCACGUCUGCACCACCACACAUCCAUCAAUCAAACAGGUGGAACUGUGCAGACUUCCCCACGCUCAACGUCCUCUUUCCAAUGUCGCCGUUCGCUAUCUGUGGAUGUCCCUAAAUGGCCUGAGAAGUUUCCAUUAGAAGAAAUUAGAGAUACUGUAGUUUUAAGUCAUUGAGCAAUCACUUACUUAUUAUUACUAAUUACAAGUCACUGAUUUCUUAGACAGAAAUGAACAUUUUACGUGCACAAAGAUAGUAUCAUAAGGGGUGUGGCGUCUUGCCAUUGGAAACUGGGCAUAAGGUCAUUUGUCCUACAGUUUCUCGUGUACUGAAAGGCGGUGUGGAUCCUAGUUUCUCGUGCACUGAAAGGCGGUGUGGAUCCUAGUUUCUCGUGUACUGAAAGGCGGUGUGGAUCCUAGUUUCUCGUGUACUGAAAGGCGGUGUGGAUCCUAGUUUCUCUUUUACUGAAAGGCGGUGUGGAUCCUAGUUUCUCUUUUACUGAAAGGCGGUGUGGAUCCUAGUUUCUCGUGUACUGAAAGGCGGUGUGGAUCCUAGUUGUACUGAAAGGCGUGUGGAUCCUACGUAG
rnacentral:lncRNA from 1 species